AAUAUACAUAUAUUCAAAAAUUGAUUUUUACUAAAAUAUUUUCAAAUAACCAUUAUAUUUUUUUCAAUAUAUAUAAGAAAAAUACAAUAUAAAGCUUAAUUUCAAACACCAACUUAAAUUAUGAUUUUUAUUUUUCACAUAAAAUUUUAGAAAUAUAAUAUAUAUGAUUACUUAUAUGAUGGCACAUAUAAAAUACUAUUAAUUAUAUGGUUACUUGUAUGAUAGUACUUAUAAAAUACGACUAAUUAUAUGAUGACACAUAUAUGAUAUAUAAUAGUGACUAGGGGUGAGCGUUCGUGUACUUAUUCGGGUUCGGGACAGGUCUGUUUGGGUUUCGGGUUUUUGGGAUCAAAUAUUUCAGCCGCAUUCGGAUAUUUCUAAAUUUUGGUCCGGGUUUAGUUCAGAUCUUUGCGGGUUCGAUUUGGAUUGGAAUAACCCAUUUAAACUAUUUUUAGUUUUUUUUUAAUUCAUUAUAUACUCUAAAGUUCUCAAAAUUUAAAAACAAAAUAAUAUAUUACAUAUAAAUUUGAAUAACAUAUGUUAGAAUACCUAAACUUAACAUAUAAAUUGGUUUGGUUUAAAUAUUUGGACAGAAAAUCAAUAAUUAUUUUAAGUAGUUUUGGUGUUUUGAGUAUACUUUAACUAUUUUAGAUAUUUACUUUUAACUAUUUGUAUAUAUAUUUUAAGUAUUUAAACCAAUUUAAAAAUAUCAUAUAUAUUAUGGAUGUUUUUAUGUACAUUAAAUCUAAAAAUAAUUAAUAUAUAUAAGUAUAUAAAUCUAUUUCAGAUAUAUUCAGAUACCCAAAAUACUUUAGUUCGGAUAAGAUUAGGUUUCAGUUCUCUAAUAAAUACUAAAAAUUUGAAUAAUUCAGAUAUUUAAUUAAUUUCGAUUCGAGUUUAGUACUACUUUUUUGGAUCGGAAUCAUCUCGGUUCUUCGGAUUCGAGUUUUUGCCCAAUCCUAAAUAGUGAUAUAAAAACAAAUAGCAACAUAUUUUUGAAAAAAUACACUCGCACGGGUGCGUAGAUCAAAAUCUAGUUACUAUUAUGAUUAUGUACCUUAGUCAACUCAUUCAAUUACAUAACGUGUUUCAUCCUUAAGAAGUUAUAAAAGAAGCACUUGUGUUUACUUGUUGAUAUACAUGAAAAUAUACAAUCCUCCAUAUUUUUUUAUCCUCAUUAUUUUUUUUUAUCUUUCUCUUUGAUUUUCUUUUGAGUCUAAGAGUAUAUACAUAACUAGUUUUGUCAGGCUUCUAAUAGAGUGACGCAAAUCAGAAGAUUUUUUGCAGUUGUAUCCUGGGACUCAUUACGUCAUCGAACCGUCGCACUACGGGACGUAUUUUGAGUUAAGGAAAGAGAUAAUAUAUUGAUUCUGCAGUUAUAUCAUCAUUUUCUUAAUCUUUGGUAUAAUUUUAUCAAUUUUAUUCUUUGCAAUAUUUUGUUUUCCGUAGUUUAUAUAAUACGUUUCUAUCGGUUAAGUGUGUUUAAUUUUAGUGUCAAACAUUUGCCACAAUAUGACCUGGUUGGUUUUCUAUGUUAAUAAAGCUGUAACCCUUUUUUAUGCUUAGUAGCUGCAUGCGUAGUGUUUCUCGUAUAGAUGACACUAAUGAGUUAUGGCCAUUCGCUCUUCUUGGUUUGAGUAUUUCAAUCUUGAUAAGUUGUAGAGUUGGAUCCCAGAAGUGCUUAUUUGAAGAAAUCGUUUGGAACUAUAGAGUGGACUGUACCGAUUAUCGAUCCAAACUACUCUUCUGGGAAUCUUUUGAACCAGAUUUCAGUACCAUAUUUGAACUGACCGAGUUCGAAGAUUGAACUCGGAGACACAACUGUAUCAUUUUUUUUUUGCAAGGCAAAUUUCUGAGCUUAAAACAAACGUAAGAAUAAAAACUAAGAAAGAAAGACUUAUGAACAUUUUUUUUUGACAAAAUGAACAGAAAUUCUCAGAAGAAGAAAAAUAAGUCAGUUUUCUUUAAUAAAUAAUAGAUACUGAAGAAUAUUCUAAUGUUCAGUUAAGAUAUGUUAGCAUAGAUAAGGGUCAAUCCCUACAAUCUUGUAACAACUUUGUGUAUAUUAUACCAACGUAAUACAAGUAAUCUUCCAAGGGAAACUGAUCUACUUUCAUGGUAUCAGAGGGUUCAUCAUCUAAUCGAUCCUGAACCAAUUUCUUAUUCUCUUUUCUCAUCUUCUCUCUCAUAUCUCUCAUCUCUCUUCCGCCAUGGCUGCUCACUUUCAUCCUCUAAAUCCUCUCGAACGUGCUUAUGGCGUAACCAACAUCAAGUCUCAUAUCCCAAUCAUUCUGGAUAUUGAUGACCAUAACUAUGAUGCUUGGAGAGAGCUAUUUCUCACUCACUGUCAAUCCUUUGACGUUUCUGGUCAUCUCGAUGGAACACUUCUCCCUGAUGAUGCUGAUGAUGUAGUCUGGACUAAACGCGAUGGUCUGGUGAAACUCUGGAUCUAUGGAACGCUAUCUAAAAAUCUGUUCAGAACUACUUUCAAGACUGGCGGGACAUCUCGUGAGAUCUGGACUCGUAUCGAGAACUUCUUUCGCAACAACAAGGAAGCUAGGGCCCUCCAGCUUGAUCAUGAUCUCCGAACUAAAGAGAUAGGUGACCUCACGAUCCACAACUAUUGUCAAGAGCUCAAGUCUAUCUCGGAUCUACUCACUAACGUUGACGCCCCUGUCUCUGAGAGAACUUUGGUGACAUACAUGCUAAAUGGCUUGAGCAGCAAGUAUGACAACAUCAUCAACGUAAUCAAACAUCGUCAACCGUUCCCAUCAUUUGAUGAUGCUAGAUCAAUGUUACUUCUUGAAGAAGAUAGGCUCAACAAAGGCAACAAAGGAUCGCUUGCACACAAAGACACUUCCUCGUCAGACAAGGUAUUGGUGGCAACAACAGCACAAACCGAUCAAAGAGUCUCCUCAACACAACAGUCUCAUCAACGAUUCAAUCAAAACAGAGGAAAGAAGCAAGGCAGAGGCAGAGGUCGCGGUAACAACAACCAACGACCGUCAUUCCCACAAUGGAACGCACCGUUCUGGAACAAUGGGUAUCCGAUGUGGCCAAUGCAACAAAUGUCGCCAUGGGGUCAAGCACCACAGUACCAGUACCCGCAACAAGGUCUCCUUGGUCCAAGACCUUCAGCCGCACCAAUUCAAAAUCAAGUCGGUUCUCAAAACAAUGACAAACCCGUCCCUACGGUGGAUUUCGCGGCUGCAUUCAACACAAUGACAUUGAUGGAUCCAACUGACAAUCAAUGGUACAUGGAUUCUGGUGCGACGGCUCAUCUAGCCAAUUCGGCAGGUAAUCUAACGUCUGUUCUUAAUUCUAGCACUGGAAAAUCGUUUAUGGUUGCCAAUGGUAGUCGCAUACCAAUACAGAACACGGGUUCCUUCUCUCUUGCCUCUUAUUCUCGGCCGUUAACUCUAAACACAGUUCUUGUCACUCCUUCUAUUAUCAAAAAUCUAAUUUCUGUUCGCAAAUUCACAAAAGAUAAUUCUUGCUCAAUUGAGUUUGAUCCAUUUGGUUUUUCUGUGAAGGAUCUUCAAACUGGGAAGAAAAUUCUCCGCAGUGACAGUACCGGUGAUCUCUAUCCGGUCUUACCCUCCACAAAUAAAGUCUCUGCUCAUUCAGCUUUUCUCACUACCUCUUCAAGUGUUUGGCAUCAACGUCUAGCACAUCCCAGUCCACAAACUCUUCAAUUUCUUAUUUCUACUUUCAAUCUGCCUUGUAAUAAAAAGGAUCAUUCCAAACUUUGCAAUGCAUGCCAGUUAGGCAAACAAAUAAAACUCCCUUUUUCAAACUCUGUGUCAAACGUAACUGAGCCUUUUCAAAUUGUUCACUCUGACUUGUGGACUUCACCGGUUUUGAGUUUGGGUGGACUCAAAUACUAUGUCCUUUUCUUAGACCAGUACACUCAUUUCUUAUGGAUUUAUCCCAUUCGUCACAAGAGUGAAGUUUUUUUCAAAAUUUCAACACUUUGCAAACUUUGUCAAAAACCAGUUUGGAAAAGACAUCAAGUCACUGCAAUGCGACAAUGGAACAGAGUAUAAUAAUGCUCAAUUUCAUGAAUACUUUGCUUCCAAAGGGAUUUCUUUUCGUUUUUCUUGCCCAUACACUUCUCAACAGAACGGACGUUCUGAAAGAAUGAUCCGUACUGUUAACAACGCAGUGCGCAGCAUGCUAUUUCAAGCUCAACUACCUUCCUCUUUUUGGGUUGAAGCUUUACACACUGCGGUUCAUAUUCUAAAUCUUCUCCCCUCCAAAGCCAUAAAUAAUUAAAUUCCUUACACUCUCCUUUUUCAGAAACCUGUCUCUUAUUCUCACCUCAGAGUUUUCGGAUGCCUUUGCUAUCCAAACCAGAACAAUGCAACUAAAAACAAAUUGUCUCCUCGUUCUUCCAAAUGUGUGUUCCUCGGUUAUCCACUUCAACACCGUGGCUUUAGAUGUUUGGAUCUCGAAACGAGAAAGAUAAUAUUGUCAAGACACGUCCAGUUCGACGAGUCAUCCUUCCCGUAUCAGAACAAAGUUACUCAACAGUCUGAUUACGAUUUCCUCUCUUCUGAAUCGGAGCAGUCUCCUUUAUUUAGACAAAUCUUAUUGAACUCCCCUGCUCCUACGCCAGUUGAUCAACCUACGGUUCAACAGCCAACUCAGCCUGCACAAUCAGCACCUGAGGCUCCAAGGCAUCGUAUGGCAACUCGGUCCCAAACUGGCAGUCUCAAACCAAAGCAAUUUAUCUCCCUUCUUGCUCAAAACACAUGUUCACCUCUACCAAAAAGCCACUUAAAAGCUCUAGAGGACCCUUUCUGGAAUGCUUCCAUGUGUGAUGAGUACAGUGCUUUUAUUAAGAGUAAGACUUUUGAUUUAGUGCCUCGGCCAAAAGAUACUAACAUUGUCAGGUGUAUGUGGCUACAUAAGCAUAAAUAUGAUGCAGAUGGUGUUUUCAAAAAGCAUAAAUCCAGAUUGGUAGCUAAUGGGAAGUCUCAAGAAGAAGGAGUGGAUUUCUCUGAAACUUUUAGUCCAGUGGUAAAGCCUGCAACAAUACGUACGGUACUCCAUGUUGCACUCAAUCGCGGUUGGUCCAUUCAUCAGCUUGACGUCCAGAAUGCUUUUCUUCACGGCAACCUAGACGAGACAGUUUACAUGUUUCAACCCCCUGGUUUUGUGGACAAAACAAAGCCCAACUACGUGUGUAAGCUCAACCGUGCGAUCUAUGGCUUGAAACAAGCACCGCGUGCUUGGAAUGCAAGAUUCGUCAACUUCAUCACCACCUGCGGCUUUUCACAAAGCAAGAGUGACACCAGUCUCUUUGUCUACAUCAACGGACCAGACAUUGCUUAUCUCCUCCUGUACGUAGACGAUAUCAUCGUCACCGCGUCUUCAACAAUACUACGAGACAGGAUCAUCUCAGACCUUAAAUCCGAAUUUCCCAUGACUGACCUUGGAACACUUAACUCAUUCUUAGGAGUAUCAGCGAAAUUCAACAACAAAGGCCUUUUCCUGAAUCAAACCCGUUACGCAGAAGACAUCUUAAUACGUGCAGGUAUGAAUGACUGCAAACCGUGUACGACACCAGUUGAUCUCAAGUCAAAACUUGCGGCAGAUGAUGGAAAACCGUUAAGCAAUCCAACGGAGUACAGAUCACUUGCAGGCGCUCUUCAAUAUCUGACCUUCACACGCCCUGAUAUAUCAUUCGCAGUCCAACAAAUCUGUCUCUUCAUGCACGAUCCAAGAGAAUCGCACUUCAAGGCUCUGCAUCGCGUGCUACGCUAUCUGAAAGGAACUCUGAGCCACGGGCUACAGCUCUUAAAGAAUCAAAACAUGAAGCUUACGGUCUAUUCGGACGCGGACUGGGCAGGAUGUCCAAACACAAGGCGUUCAACCUCUGGCUACUGUCUAUAUCUUGGUGAUAACCUCAUCUCCUGGUCGGCAAAAAGACAAUCAACAGUGUCCAGAAGUAGUGCUGAAGCAGAGUACAAGGGAGUUGCCAAUGCAGUGGUAGAGUCGUGCGGCAUACGUAAUCUUUUGCUCGAGAUGAACUGCCCUUUGAAGCAAGCAACGGUCGUGUUCUGCGAUAAUGUCAGUGCUGUGUAUCUCUCGACAAAUCCGGUUCAACAUCAACGCACAAAACACAUUGAGAUCGACAUUCACUUUGUUCGUGAGAAAGUACAAAUGGGGGAGGUCAGAGUUCUACACAUUCCAGCAGCCAUGCAAUAUGCUGACAUAUUCACUAAGGGAUUACCCUCUUCUCUAUUCAUCAGUUUUCGAAACAGUCUAGGCGUGUGUACACCCCACGCUAGGACUGAGGGAGGGUAAUAGAUACUGAAGAAUAUUCUAAUGUUCAGUUAAGAUAUGUUAGCAUAGAUAAGGGUCAAUCCCUACAAUCUUGUAACAACUUUGUGUAUAUUAUACCAACGUAAUACAAGUAAUCUUCCAAGGGAAACUGAUCUACUUUCAAUAAAGAUAAAAAUAAAACUAACUUUGACUUUUCAGUGGGCAUACUCCAAAAAUAAAACCAACGUAAAACCCAUUUUUAAGGACGGGCAUGGGGCAGCCAUAAACGUUUUGGUUUUUUAUGUUAAGAGCAUCUUUAAUAUAAAACUUUAUUUUUUUUAAAUAAAAUAAAAGUGAUUAUGGAGUAAAACAUAUUAUAAUCCUAUUCUAUUUCUUACUUCGUAAUAGAGUAAUGAACAAACAAAAAAUCGAUUAUUUCAUUUAUGGAGUAAAUUUAAUUAUGAAAUAAGAAAUAAAAUAAAGUUAGAGCAUGUUUUACUCUAUAAUCACUUUUAUUCAUUUUGAAAAGAAAAAAAUGGAUUGAGAUUGAAUAUGCUCUAAUAAAACUGUAAAUAUUUUUUUAUGCUUAGUAACUGCAUGUGUAGUGUUUCUCUUAUAGUUGUGUCACAAUUUUUUUUUGCAACUUUACAUUUAUUAGAAAGGUUGAAAAAGAGUACAAACUUAAUGUUUUACCAAAAAAAAAACUCAAUAUCUAACCACUAAAAAACUUAAUGUUCCAGACACAAGGACAAAGUAGGAUCCAGUCGUAGAAAUAACAUCAGACAUUUGUCCAUGCUUGAUAAAAACAUCUAAAUAAUCUUUAAUCUAUACAAAAUAGGUUAAAAGAUAAAUAAGCUUAUACUAAUUUAUAAGUAUAAAAUUUUAAGCAGAAACUAAUACAAAACUGAUUAAAUAUUUUAAUUUGAAACAAUAUAAUAUUAAAUGACUAUUCUAAUAAAAAUAUUAUAAUAUUUUAAACUAUGAUAAUGCAAUAUAAUACUAAUAAAUGCAGUAUAAUGCAAAUAUAACCUAACAUAAUUAUAAGAAGAUAUUUACAAUUUAAAAUUACUUUUAAUAUUUUAUAACAACUAGUAUAUUUAAUAUCUCAAAAUAAAUUUUUAUUCUUUAUAUCAAAAAUUUAAUACCAAAAAGUAGGCUUAAGCAAACGUAAAAAAAACUAAAAUGAUACUCCAAAAAUACUAUUUCAUCUAAUUUUUAAGAUUUAAAGUAAAAUAAUAAUAGUAUGUAUGGUGCAGUCACAAAUUUCUUUAAAGACCAAAAGCUUAAAAUAUUUAAUAAAAAACUAAAUAAUCAAUUAAUAUGAAUUUAAACAUAAGUAAUGCAAAUAACCUAAAUAUAUAUAAAUGAGUUACAACUUUAUCAUUCCAUUAAAUACUAUUUUCUCCACUAAAAAGGUUUCACUUUCAAAACUCUCAUCAAAAUCUAGUAGUUAUUUAAAACUAAUUUUUAAUUUUAUGAAAAUUAAACAUUCUGAGAUCAUAAGAUUUGCAUCAUUUUUUGUUUGUAACUAUUCUAUAGGCACUUAUUACGAAUCACUCUUGGUCAUUAAUCAUUCCUAAAAAUAAAAAUGAAACCUCUUUAUAUAUAUAACAUACAGUCAGAUGAUUGAAAGGACAAUUAAAUCUCAUCAAAACAAAAGAACCAAAGAGAUAAUAAAGAAUAAAAGACGAAGAAUGGCCAAAGGUGUACAAUUGUUCAUCACUUUUGUGAUGAUCUCCAUGUUAAUAUCAACAGAAACGGUUGGAGCGAGGAAGCCUUUGAUUAAAUGUAUAAGUCUACUAUAUUUUCCCUGCAAUCCACAUGAUAAAGGACAAUGCUUAAGGGCGUGCAAACACAAGUAUAAAAAUACGGAAAUCGGAACUUGCAAAAAAAUCCCACCGCCCCCACCAGGAAUAAGAUUCCUAAAAAUGGCUUGCGAUUGCCAAUACAUGGCCGUUGAAUGCUCAUGAAAAUUAUAAUUCAAUUUACUAUUCAAAUUGACGAUUAGAUUUGGAUGAAAUUAUUUUACAUAUUUAUAAUUUAAAAUCCAAAAAAUGGAUUUAAUACUAAGUUUUUAUUAUUUAUUCUUGUACCAAUAAAUAUUUGAUGUUAUAGAUAUGGAUGUUACGUCUUUUACUUUUUUUUAGUUAAUUUAUUAAUUCCUAUCUACACAUCGAUCUAUAAUUAUAUAUCAAAAAAUCUGUGAGAUAGUUCUAAUUUAAACAAGGAUCGGUGGUAUGUUGAAGCAAGAGGACUUUAGUGGGCAACAAUAGAACAAACAAUCCUACUUGAUUUGGAUUUCGGGUGGAGAGAUCUGUAUAAAGAAUUUUGAUUUUGUCUGAUAUGAAAAGGGUGAAGAAUUAAGUUGCGUUGAUUUGUCACAGUGUGCUCACUGCUAUUGCUUCCGUAGUUUCAUGGUGACUGAAUCAUAAUUAAGUCUUCCAUUAAUGUAUGGUUGCUCUAUGAGAGUGAAUUUCUGGGAGAGAGAGGAUGAUGUUAUCUCUGCAUGCGUGUGAUAUCAAUCUUAUAGGCGCUGUAGAUUACGGAAGAUGAUGAGUAUGUUGUAAGCGCUGGAAUCAAAUGGUUUUAAACGCUUGUUGCUGCCACACGGGUUAAGUAGAUGAAGGGAGAAGUAAUUUUCCAUCAGAUGAAAACCGGAGAAUGCAUACAAUCAUUCCCCAAAGCUAGAGCAUUAUAUAUGGAUGCUUGGUUGAUUUGCUUUGUAGAGCUGGAUUAUUGUGUUUACCUAAAAAUAUAUAAAUGAGUUACAACUUUAUAAUUUCCAUUGAAUAAUAAUAUUCUCAACCAAAUUUUUUUCACUUUCAAAGCUCUCAUCAAAGUCUAUUAGUUAUUUAAAAUUAAUUUUAAAAUUUAUGAAAAUUAGACAUCUAUAUUAUUAAAACUGAAGUACAUUUUGAUAUUAUUUAAAAACAUGGAUAGCAGUAUAAAUGAAAAUUAUUUAAAAACAUAGAUAACAAUAUAAAAAAAUUAUAGUGUCUUUUUAGUAAUUUCAUUAAUAUAAUUACAUUACCUUUAUUUCUAUAUUUUAAUUAAUUUAACAAUUUCAUUAAUUAUAUUACCUUAACAAUACAUCACAUCAUUAGUUAUAUUACCAUCAUAAUAAUAGUGCAGAUUUUUAAUUAUUAGUUAAUCAACAUUAACUUUGUCCCAAUUAUAAAAUAAAAAAUGUAUAAUAAUUGGAUUUUGCAUAUGGUUAAACGUUUAGUUUAGUUCGAUUCACUAAAUUUUUUUUUAAUUUUAGUAUCAGUUGGUAAAAAAUUAUGUAGCCAAAAACAUAAUUCAAAUACAUGUUUUUAUGAAUAAAACAAUAACAUAAAUCAAAAUAAUAAAAAUAUAUUAUAUUUAUUGUCACUUAAUUUUUUACUCUAUAUAAUUAUUUUACUAAAUAAAAAACUCUUUCUAUUUCCAUUAAUUUAGCAAACACAUAGAAACGUCUUCUUAUUAGUUUAUAAAAUCAAUUAGACAUGAACAUUUGCUACCCAUUUAUGUACAAGUUGUUCUUUUCGGGUAUCUUUUUUUUUUAAAUUAGGCCCGCUUGAAUAUUACAAAUUUAUGUGUGAGUUUUGAGUUGAGUUUUUUCUGGGUCUGGAUGAGUUCGGUUCUGAUGUAUAUGAACAUAAAAAUAUCUAAAUAACAAAUGUAUUUGAAAUGGAUUCGGAUAUUUGUAACAAAAAUAACCAUAUUACCCGAUUGGUUCAGGUCUUUUGAAUACAAUUAGUUAUAUUACAACCCAUGUAAAAUAUAUAACACUAAUUAUGAAAAAUAAAUAUCAAUGUAUAAAAAUAUAUGAACCAGUAUCCGCGGUGUGCGGGUCAGCUCUAGUUCUGUUUUAAGAUUAUAAGAUUUGUGUUAUUUUCCUUUUUGUAACUAUUCUAUUGGCACUUAUUACGGAUCACUCUUGUUCAUUAAUCAUUCCUAAAAAUAAAAAUGAAACCUUAAAUAACAUACAGUCAGAUGUAGAGCUGGGUUCGCGGGUCAACCCGCACCGCCCGCCCCGCCAACCCGCGGGUCGACUCAUUUUUUUCACUCAAAACAUCGACCCGCAUGAUCCACAAAGAAAUAUUCACAUACCCGCACCUGCCCAAGUUUGCGGGUAAUCCACGGGACCCGCGGAUAAUAUAAAUUUUAAUAAAAUAAUUAUUUUAAUUAUAUUUUAAUUAAAUAAUACUUAUUUUCUGAUAAAAUAAUUAAAUUAUAUAUUAUUUUCUGAAUUUAUACUAUUUUAUAUAUUUUUUACGAAAAUAUAUAUUAUUUUUUGAAGUUUCUGAAUUUUUUUUAGUUUUUUGCGGGUUAACGGGUACCCGCGAUUCAAAAUCUACCGAUCCGCACCCGUCCCGCAUAGAAUCGACUUGACCCGCACCCGCAUGUUGAAUUUUUCGAAAUGGCCGACCCGCAGCGGGUCAAACGGGGCGGGACCCGCGGGUAAAAACUAAAAUUUCCAGCUCUAGUCAGAUGAUUAAAGGGAAAUUGGGUCAUAUGACCAUGAAAAAAGCCUAAUUCACAUACUAGCCAUUUUACUUAACAGACCUAUACACGCUGUUAUAUAUACAUAUUAAUACUGUAAUACCCCUUCUCUCAACCGGCGCAACCUGCUAAAAAAAAAUUAAAAAAAAUUAAUUAUUAAUCACACAAAAAUAAAUCGUGGCCUACUCGACUUCACAUCUUUCUCUCCACAGCGUCGCCUCCGCCUGCUUUUGUCAUCUCCUUCUUAUUCUCAUUCCAAUUGUGUACUUUCUCCACUUGUGCCAUCAUCCGACAUCGGACGGCAUUAAAGUUGUAGCAGCGAUCAGUAACAGACCCUUCCUCUCCAACUUCACCAAGUUGAUUCUUCUCAGAUCUCCUUCAUAUCAGCGAUUACGGUGAGUUCUGUUGCAAUAUUGUAAGUUCUCUGUUUUGUGACAUAGAUUCUAUUAUUUCUAUGUUAGCUCUCCUAUCUGGAAUAGAUUCGGACCUACCGUAUUCUAAGUUGAUAAAUAUAACUUAUUGUUUAUGUUGCAUGCCCGAUCUAGUAAGCUGAGGUAAACAAAUUGAUUUAGGGUUGAAAUUUUCUCACUGCAAAAGGGGGGGGUCGUGAUUUUGGAAUAAAAAGUCCCUUUUGCGAUAAAACAAGUUUAGUUCUGUGCGAAAUGGAAUAUCUUAUGGAACAUGUACUAUUUGAAAUAGAAAAUUUUAGUUUUAGAGACUGGUUAUGUGCCAUUUCAUUCCUCUGCUAUUUCUGAAGAAUCAUAUCAAAACUAAAAUACUAUUCGCUUUCCAUUCCAUCAGACCAUUUGUUCCCUCUAUAUCUAUAAAUUAUAUAUUAUAUCAGAUGGUUCAAUUCUAAUUGCACAUGUUACUUUUUUACUCGCAUAGGCUAUUUGGAAUUGACACAACUAAACAUUUAACUUAAGCAUAAAGUAAUGCAUAUACUAGUAGCAUGUCUCAUAUGCUGUCAUUUCCUUCCAACUUGUAAACUAAUGUGUGUCCUCAUUUUCAUUUUGUUUUUCAGGUUUGUCAUGGAUGAAUUGGAAGGGUAAUAAUACUUCUAUACUAUUUUAUGAAAUGGAACAUAUUGUUUUUCUUUCAAAUUUGGCUCUUCUCUUAUUUGCCAUGUUUAUUAAUAUAUAAUGUACUAUAAAGUAAGUUAUAUUUCAUUCGAUGCUUGAAAGAGAAGAUUAAAUCUUGUUUGUUGUUGUUUCAUGUUCUAUUGAUAUGAGUUUUGUAUUGGUGUUUAUAUGUGGUUUAUAUUAGUAUGUAUAUGAUUUUGUAAAGAGAAAUAAUAUAUUGAACGUAAAUAGAAUAAAAUUUAUUAUGACAUCAAAUAAAACAGAAUACAAUGUGACAUUGAAUGGGAAUGAUACAUAUAUGAUGUUAUCUCUUCCACCUCUUUUCUCUAAUGCCGUUAAUCUUCGUUUCUGUCACCACAACAAUCUGAAUUUGGUGUAAGCAUUACCUCUAUCCCUACAAUCAUAGACACUUCAAAAUUUGAACAAUAUAUAUAUGUACUGUGAUAUAUCGUUUGUCACAUUUUCUAUUCUAUAGGCUCAUGUAGAAUGGAAAUGCAUGUUACUUGGGGGUUUAGUUUACGAAAGAUUGGGGUUAGACAUUGGAUUAGGGUUUAUAUUUCCAUAUAGGGUUUAGUAAUUAGUGGCUAGGGUUUAGUUUAUGGAAGAUUGGAGUUGACAUUGGAUUAGGGUUUAUAUUUUAUGUAGGGUUUAGUGAUAGUUGAUAGUGUUUAGUUUAUGUACGAUUGGAGUUGGCAUUGGGGCAAGCAUUACCACCUUCCAUGAAGGCAUGACCAUAUUAGCAUUUGAAAAAUAUGUUAAGAUGCUUUUUAGAUUGCAACUACAUUUUUAUUAUUUCUAUUCUAUAUGCCUCAUGUAGAAUGGUAAUGCAUCUUACUGGUCUUUUAAAAUUUAGGUUUAGUUUAUGAAAUAUUGGGGUUAACAUUGGUUAAGGUUUAAAUUUUGAUAUUUGGGUUUAGAGUUCAUAUUUGAGUUAAGUUUAUUGAUUAGAGUUUAAGGUUUAGGAUUUAGGGGUUGAGGUGUGAUUAGGAUUGGGUUAGUAUUUAGGGGUUUAGGAUUUAUAUUUGGGUAAGGGUUUAGUGAUUAGAGUUUAAGGUUUAGUAUUUAGAAGGUGAAGGAGUAUGGUUGAGGUCAGUAAUAACUUCUUCCAUGUAAUUAUAUAUAUUUUAUAAUUUCACAAAUAUGUACUAUGUUAUUUUUUUGUUCAAUUCUAUUUGGAUUUUGUGCUUAUAUUUGGGGUUAUGGUUUAUAUUUGGGUUUAUGCUUUAGAUUUGGGUUUAGGGUAUACUGAUUAGAGUUUAGAGUUUAAUAUAUAGGUUGGGUGAGAUUGGAAUAAGUUUUAAUAGUUAAGGAUUUGAUUUGGGAUAUGUUUAUAUUUAAGGGUUGUAGAUAAAGUUAUAAUUAUAUACUAUUUCAUAUAGAAUAUAACUCAGUGGAUAUGUAUGUGGUCAAUAAAAAUAUACGUGGAUGACUCUUCUUUUACUGGCCACAUUAUUAUUUUCCACCUUUUUACCAGGUACCUGCAAAAAUAAAGGAUAAAACCAGGUAGUUUAUGGUAUAAAUGUUAAAUACUAGAUUAUGUCAAAAUCAAAGCUAGUUACUUAAUUUACAUACAAUAUAUAGCUAGUUCACAAAUUAACCCAUAAUUAUAAUCGCUCUUUAUCUAAGGGAAAUAAUCAAUUAAAUUAAAAAAUAAUUAUUGCAAGAUCAUCUCUAUGUAACUAAAACUAAAUAAUUUAAUAUGAUUUGGUUAAAUAUAAUAUGAUUUUAGAUGUUAUUAUCCUAUACUGUUAUAUCAGAAAAUUACAUUCCGUAAAAAAAAAAAUCAAAAUAGGUAAAAAUGACAUUGGUUUUAUGUUGUCAAAACAAAACCAAAAAAAGUAAAAUCACAAUGAAGAUCAGGUUUUGUAAUGUUUUUUUGCACGUUGUGCAUUUAUACAUAGAGGAAAUGAGAAGAUAUACCCUGGCGCUUACAGUAAAUGUUGAUAAGAUUUCGACCAAAAGCACAUCGUAACAGUGUAACACAAGACUGAACUAAUAUACAAAAAUCCAUAUAGUUUUUUUUUUUCUGAGCUUAAGUCCAUAUAGUGUUAAAUACAACUCAUCUUGGUUAAUUAAAAACAACCAAUACAAAAGCGGUUAUCAUAUGCAGAUAGCAGGUGAAGGCCUCUGAACUACGGAAACUAUCCCUUUUACCAUUUAAUUGAGUGACCAAGUCCAGCUAAUGGAACACUGGCCCUGUUGACUUCUGCUGGAUGCGUUACAAAACCACUCGAGAAAACACAUAGAACUAAAGCAUAUGGUGAAAAAAAGCACACGGGAUAAACGAAAAACAUGUCUCCUAUACAAGAGUGUAAUCAUGAUGCUAUUCUAGUUGGCACAUGUCUAAAACAUGUUUUUUAGAAAUCGCAUAAGAAGAAAAUUCACUCUAAAAGCCAUUACUUGACAUAGUUCUAGCGUGUACUCAAGAGUGGAUUGCAGUUUCUGGUUGGCUGCAGUGUCAAACGUAAGGUUGCAUAGCGACAAUCUGGCUGAGAAAAUAAUUGCCAGAGGUAAAACUCAUCUCUUAGUCCAAAUUAAAAAUGCAUAACCAAAAGUGCACCCCUAGGAAAAAUGUAUAUAAAAAAGAAAAUCUCACUGAUGAUGUGUUACUGCUUAUAUUCAGAUCUCAGUGAUUGUUAAUCCAAAAGUUCAAAGCAAGUUGCAAAUUCCAUUUUGUGGUACUGUGGAGAGCCGGUUACAUGUUUAGCCGGACUCAAUUCAAGAUCAAUAGAUCAGGUUUAUUCAUGUUAGUACUUAGUUGUCACUCUAUAUUCUUGUUUACGUAUCCAAAAGGAAGAAUUAUAUUGAAUCUUGAUUACUGAAAGAUGGUGAUUAGUGAUUACACAGUUGAUAGUAUCAAAUACAAAUGAGAUGCCCAAUACUUUAUAAAUCAUACUUAAAAUACAUCUAGAGUCAUCUUUAAAUGCAUAAUUUCUGUUUAUGAGAAGUUAGGACAUAGUAAAUAGUUUUGCUGCUUUGGUAAUUUCCGCUUUUCAUGAUCAUCAGUUUCAUUAUUAGAGAGACUUGAGUAAUACAAACACUCCAAACAAAUGGAAAGUUGACUUCAACUUCUCAUAUGGAAACUUACCUUUGGAUGAAUAUGGAAACUUUCAAUUUCUUUUCGAUAAAAAUAUUACAUUUUUGAGAUUUGUUUCUCUAGCAAAACAUGUCCCAGCUUAAUGAUACAUUAAACUGAAGAAGCAUUUGUCUAACAGAGACCGACCAACCAUCCACAAGCGUCAGUCACAUAAGAAUAGUUGUAAAGUUGAAUUCAGUUGUUUUAUAAGAUUUCUCUAAUGCAUGUUGCUAAGUACAUAAUUAAUUUUUAUUUAUGAGAUUGUAAGUUCACAUUGUGAAAAGAACUAUAAUCAGUUCCUAAUUUAAAUAUAUUUACGUAUACCAAACCGAAAGGAAAAAAUAAAAUGAUUCUGAUUAUGGAACAAAUAAAUUAAACCAAAAGGAAAAUAAAAUAAUUCUGAUAAAAAAAUAUACAUAAAACUGACAAAUUUAAUAAAAUAAAAAAUUGGUAUAUGUAAAAUUUGAAACCUUAAAAAAAAAGGAAAACUCCGAGUUACGAUUAAACGGCUAAGAUGAAAGAUUAGAAAAUCCGACGGCUGUGAAGUCACUACUCACUUACAAAAAUGGAAAAGUUCCGAACCCGGGAAAAUAUAAAACCCGAGCACAUGCGCAUUUUAGCGUAGAUUCAAUUACAUUACCGAAACUACCCUCUGCAUCCUCCUUCUCCUCCGUAUAUAUAAAAAAAACAAAGCCUUAACCUUUCUCUGACGGCAUCGUUAACAAAAAAAAAAAAAAAAAAAAAGCAAA